rnacentral:tRNA from 1 species
UGUGCUGUAGCUCAAUGGUAGAGUGCUUAUCUGGUAUACACAAGACAUGGGGUUCAAUCCCCAGCACCA